GACGAACGCUGGCGGCGUGCUUAACACAUGCAAGUCGAACGGGAUUUAGUAGACAGAAGCCUCGGCUAAAGAUUACUAAUGAGAGUGGCGAACGGGUGAGUAACGCGUGAGCAACCUGCCUAUGACAGUGGGAUAGCCUCGGGAAACCGGGAUUAAUACCGCAUAAAAUCGUAGAAACACAUGUUUUAACGGUCAAAGAUUUAUCGGUCAUAGAUGGGCUCGCGUCUGAUUAGCUAGUUGGUGAGAUAACAGCCCACCAAGGCGACGAUCAGUAGCCGGUCUGAGAGGAUGAACGGCCACAUUGGCACUGAGACACGGUCCAAACUCCUACGGGAGGCAGCAGUGGGGAAUAUUGCACAAUGGGGGAAACCCUGAUGCAGCGACGCCGCGUGAACGAAGAAGGUAUUCGUAUCGUAAAGUUCUGUCCUAUGGGAAGAUAAUGACAGUACCAUAGAAGAAAGCUCCGGCUAAAUACGUG
rnacentral:rRNA from 1 species